rnacentral:lncRNA from 1 species
UACUGGUCUUGGGAGCAGGUAUUCCAACUAGAUUUAAGGUUUGAAAGUUUAAUAUUGUUUGAACUUUAAGGACUGGUUUCAUAGACACAGAUUAAGCCUAGUCUAGGACUAAAACAAAUCAAGCUCAGUGUAUUUUUUAAGUUGUAUACUAGGCUUAAUCUGUGUCUGAAAACCCGCCUUGAAUACCCCUCACGUCAUGAAACUAAUUUGACUGACAGUACAGAACAGGGGAUGUUAUCUGUUGUAGUUAAUUCUUGCAUUGGGACACAAAAUGGCUAUCAGCCAAGAACUGCAGGUUACGGUUUUCUGAAGGUCUAAAGUUGAUGUCACGCACAAUGUAAUUUUGGUUUGUUAGAGUACUGGGGGAAGGGUGUGUGAGGGUUGUGUCCAAGUAUGUACUGUUCUUUUUGAGCCUCCUUUCUAAAAUGUCAACAUUUCACCAUAGCCUUGAUCUGCUAGAGUUCUUCAUCACACUGGGGGCGGCCAAAUUUAAAUAAUGGCUCAUUGUGAUAUCACCAUGACAACACAUACAGAUAAUUUUCAGACAUGGCACUCACAUGAUGUAUGUUAAAAACAAGCCCCGAUAGUGUAAUGUACAAGUGAAAUUACUCCUGUUCUGCAAAAUAUAUCUGAAUGUAUUUCUAAGUUAAUCUGUGUCUGUGGUAAUUUCUCCUUCCACUUUUGAGUUCUUACUCGCCACCAGGGAAAAUCCUCCCACAAGAAUGGUCCAUGUGUUUUUUGUGUACUUUCUCUAAGUAUUCAGUGUCUUAUUCCCUGAAAAGGAAACCAACCUUGUCCCAUGAUAAGACUGGUUUGUUUUACGCAGUUAAUAAUUAGCUUGUAAUUGACCACCAGAGGGUGUUACACACCAAGCUCUCAGGAACUACUGUAACUUCACAAUUAGUGGAGUGUGUGGGUCUUUUCUUUGAGGGUUCAUGUUAUAAAAUAUUUUGUUAGCCAAGUAACAUUUAGGGAGGUCUGGUGUGUUAUAUGACCUCAUUUAAAAAAAAAAAAAAAAAAAAAACAGUAUGUAGAAUUUCAGGAAAUCACUUCAAUGUUAAUCUGUGGACCUCAGUUACUGUAUAAUAUAUUUUUUAUUUGCAUCUAAUCAAGUUGCUCUCCCAAAAUCAAUGUGUCUACUCAGCAAAUGAUACGGAUGUUACUAAGAAACAGUAUCUGAUAACUGAUUAUUGAAAAAGGGAAGAAGAAAAAAAAUUGCCCCAAAGCAUGUGAAAGCGGAACAGUCAUCUCGCAAAGGAUGAGACCGCAGUAAGACAGACAGAGAUAAAGGAAGUGACAGGAAGAUUACUCAAGUUGCAAAGACUGCCAGACAGCAGCUGACACUGAGAGCACCUGGUGCUUGACUGAAGAGAAUUAGUUUGGGACUACAACUAGGUAAGGGAACAACACUGUCCUUCUGGGACAGUAUGGAGAUCCUGCUUGGAAUUUAGACAUGACAGGGACACAUUGAGGCACAACACAGUGAGUUGAGACAGACAGUGAAG